GCCAGCAUGGUGUAGUGGUUGGAGUGCUGACUACAACUCUGGAGACCAGGGUUUGAUUCCCUGGUCGAGCA